ACAUGCAAGUCGAGCGAGGUAGCAAUACCUAGCGGCAGACGGGUGAGUAACAUGUGGGAAUCUGCCUUUUGGUUCGGAACAACACGGGGAAACCUGUGCUAAUACUCUAUAUGCCUUACGGUGAAAGAAGUAAUUCGCCUAAAGAGGAGCUCGCGUCUGAUUAGCUAGUUGGUGGGGUAAGAGCCUAUCCAAGGCGACGAUCAGUAGCUGGUUUGAGAGGAUGAUCAGCCACAUUGGAACUGAGACACGGUCCAGACUCC
rnacentral:rRNA from 1 species